rnacentral:rRNA from 1 species
UUCUGGCUCAGGACGAACGCUGGCGGCGUGCCUAAUACAUGCAAGUCGAGCGAACUUGCCUAGAUGAUUUUAGUGCUUGCACUAAAUGAAACUAGAUACAAGCGAGCGGCGGACGGGUGAGUAACACGUGGGUAACCUGCCCAAGAGACUGGGAUAACACCUGGAAACAGAUGCUAAUACCGGAUAACAACACUAGACGCAUGUCUAGAGUUUGAAAGAUGGUUCUGCUAUCACUCUUGGAUGGACCUGCGGUGCAUUAGCUAGUUGGUAAGGUAACGGCUUACCAAGGCAAUGAUGCAUAGCCGAGUUGAGAGACUGAUCGGCCACAUUGGGACUGAGACACGGCCCAAACUCCUACGGGAGGCAGCAGUAGGGAAUCUUCCACAAUGGACGAAAGUCUGAUGGAGCAACGCCGCGUGAGUGAAGAAGGGUUUCGGCUCGUAAAGCUCUGUUGGUAGUGAAGAAAGAUAGAGGUAGUAACUGGCCUUUAUUUGACGGUAAUUACUUAGAAAGUCACGGCUAACUACGUGCCAGCAGCCGCGGUAAUACGUAGGUGGCAAGCGUUGUCCGGAUUUAUUGGGCGUAAAGCGAGUGCAGGCGGUUCAAUAAGUCUGAUGUGAAAGCCUUCGGCUCAACCGGAGAAUUGCAUCAGAAACUGUUGAACUUGAGUGCAGAAGAGGAGAGUGGAACUCCAUGUGUAGCGGUGGAAUGCGUAGAUAUAUGGAAGAACACCAGUGGCGAAGGCGGCUCUCUGGUCUGCAACUGACGCUGAGGCUCGAAAGCAUGGGUAGCGAACAGGAUUAGAUACCCUGGUAGUCCAUGCCGUAAACGAUGAGUGCUAAGUGUUGGGAGGUUUCCGCCUCUCAGUGCUGCAGCUAACGCAUUAAGCACUCCGCCUGGGGAGUACGACCGCAAGGUUGCAACUCAAAUGAAUUGACGGA